UACACAGGAAUACCAUGAAAGAUACAGCCAUAUUUUUUUCAAAAGGGACGAUAACGGGACUUUUUCAGCUUUCUUUUUAGAAUGAAAAGCUAGUGGAUACAAAGUUUCAUCAAGACUUCUCUAUUGUUUAUGUAUUUCCGUAAAUCUAUCUUUAAGGGUUUAGAACAGAAUUUAUCGAAAAUGGCGGAUGAAGCAACAACGGCAUCGGGAUAUGUCCUUCUUCGUUGAGACGUCUUACCGGAGUCGUGACAAAAACAAUUGGCUCAUAACAGCACUGAAAGAUGUACCGAGCUUGGAACUUGAAAGGUCAUUAUACUGUCGCAGCAUAUGCACGACUGGUCAACCUCAGAGAACUGACACUCUAAGACAGACUUGAGCAGCCCACCAACCUCCCCUAUACAUUAGAUUCCCAGAUACAUCAGAACUAAAUAUAUAUCUGGGGAAGAUGAAAUAGUGUGAAAGAUAAUAAGGCUCCUGUCUAGGAAUAUUAAUCUACUUAGCUAACCCAAAAGAGUUUGUAAGCUUUUGGGCAAAUGGACAGCGUACAAUAACAAAUUACUUCAUUUUACGUCUAUGGAUGAGAGGAUGUCAAAUAAGAAGAGCUGACUAUAAAUAAGUCAUUUCUACUAUGGUUACUCAAACUCACCUGUUAAUGGUGAUGGCAAAAGGAGCAGUCCUUUUUAAGUGUUUCUUUUUCUUGACAAAUUUUAGUUAAGUAGGUAUAUUUUUCAUUAUAAUUUCUCAUUUCAGGCUCUUUGAGUCUCAAAUAGUCUCUGAAAAUUGACAAAAUUUUGUAAAAUCUUGAAAUCUCUGAUAACCUCUACACAGGGAAUUUUGUAAGUUAUGAAAAAAAAAGAGUUUUGAAAUUCAUAACAUAAACAGAGAGAACUCAUCCUUCAUUUGUUAGCCUGAAUCUAUUUGUAUCAACCAAAAAAAAAAAACAUAAAAUCUUAGGAGCAUCCUUAAGUGAUGCAGGUCUUGGUAUCUAUAGCUUUAAGAAUUUUUAUUUGGUGUAAAAAAAUCCCAAUCUUUGUGUUUGGAGUAGUAAAUCUCAAAAUCUUGAAUGAUUUUGCUAG